CAAGUAACUGGGAUUACAGCACAUCACCACACCCAGCUAAUUUGUUUUUUUUCAUUUUAGUAGAGACGAGGUUUCACCAUUUUGCCCAGACUGGUCUCGAACUCCUGAGCUCAGGCAAUCCACCCGCCUCGGCCUUCCAAAGUGCUAGGAUUACAGGCGUGAGCCACUGCGCUGAAGACAGUCACCAUGAAAGAAGGCUGACUACCCUGAGGCCUCUUGUUAUGAGAAGCCCAAGUCACAUGGAGAGGCCAUGAGAAGGCACUAUAGCUGACAGUCCCAGGAAAGCCCCCAGCCAAUCACUGCAGGAAAGACUCCAAGAAGACAUGCUCAACUUAGCCUAGUUAUCACACUAAACUAUGAGAGAUCCCCUUCUCCAGCAUCUCCAGACUGACAGAAAAUGAACAGCAAAUAAUGGAAAUCCCUUAUAUGUGGAAAUAUGUUUUCAUCGUGUCUUGGCCCCAAGUGUGUGAAAAAAGUUUUGCCAUGAAAGGAAGCAAGAAUAAGACAACUUUUGUGACAUUUGAAGAAUUG
rnacentral:lncRNA from 1 species